rnacentral:rRNA from 4 species
UUGACCUCGGAUCAGGUAGGAAUACCCGCUGAACUUAAGCAUAUCAAAAGGCGGAGGAA